rnacentral:rRNA from 1 species
UACGAAGGGAGCUAGCGUUGUUCGGAAUCACUGGGCGUAAAGCGCACGUAGGCGGACGUGUCAGUCAGGGGUGAAAUCCCGGAGCUCAACUUCGGAACUGCCUUUGAUACAGCACGUCUUGAGUCCGGAAGAGGUGGGUGGAAUUCCUAGUGUAGAGGUGAAAUUCGUAGAUAUUAGGAAGAACACCGGUGGCGAAGGCGGUGGUCUGGGCCGGAACUGACGCUGAGGAGCGAAAGCGUGGGGAGCGAACAGG